rnacentral:rRNA from 1 species
ACGCUCGACACCUACGGGAGGUAGCAGUCGGGAAUAUUGCGCAAUGGAGGAAACUCUGACGCAGUGACGCCGCGUAUAGGAAGAAGGUUUUCGGAUUGUAAACUAUUGUCGUUAGGGAAGAGAAAGGACAGUACCUAAGGAGGAAGCUCCGGCUAACUACGUGCCUAGCAGCCGCGGUAAUCUGAGGCGGGCUGGCAAGGC